rnacentral:rRNA from 1 species
GAUGAACGCUGGCGGCGUACCUAAAACAUGCAAGUCGUACACUUGUAAAAGUGUGGCGAACGGGUGAGUAACGCGUAGGCAACCUACCCUUCAGUGGGGGACAACAGAGGGAAACUUCUGCUAAUACCGCAUACGGCCUUGUACUGGGAUGUACGAGGAGAAAGGAUUUAUUCGCUGAGGGAUGGGCCUGCGGCCUAUCAGGUAGUUGGUGGGGUAAAGGCCUACCAAGCCUGCGACGGGUAGCCGGACUGAGAGGUCGACCGGCCACACUGGAACUGAGACACGGUCCAGACUCCUACGGGAGGCAGCAGUGGGGAAUAUUGCACAAUGGGGGAAACCCUGAUGCAGCGACGCCGCGUGGAGGAUGACGGCC